UGUAUCACAGACACAAUGUACAUAAUGUGAUAGAAGAAUAAUCUAUUUAUUGAUUUAUAGUCAAAAUUAUAAAUUUGUCCUUAGAUUUGUACAGGAAUGUGUCAGCCAAUCUGGCAUCUAGGGCACACAUCUAACAAACUCCCACUUGACCUAAUGCCAAUUGGCUACAUAUCUAAGUCCCAUCUUCUCAAGAUGGACUUCGAUCUUUUACUGACCCAAUGGCUUAGUCAGUGGAUCUACCACAUUGUUUGUGGAGUCGACUCUCUUGACCUCGACAUAAUCUUUUUCGAGGUAAUCAUGGAUCAAAUGGAAUCGCCGCUCGAUGUGCUUGGACUUCUGAU
rnacentral:lncRNA from 1 species